GAAUAAAAAGAAGAAAAGCUACUAUAUAAAAUCAUCAUAUAUUAUAUAUAUGUAAUCAUUUUAAAAACUGAACCAGCAUUUUUUUUUUUUUUGAGACAGAGUCUCGCUCUGUCACCCAGGCUGGAGUGCAGUGGUGAGAUCAGAAAACCAUCCCAUACCCCACCAACUAAUUACCUAAAACUAGUAAUAAUAUUGAUGUCAAAACUAAAUAAAGGUAGUUCAAGACAAGAAAAUUAUAAAACUAUAGGUCAUUCCCAUUGAUAUACAUAGUUGCAAAAAUCCUAAACAAAAUAUCAGCAAAUUAAAUAGCAACAUAUAUGAAAAAAAUAAACUCUCAUAACCGAAUUAGAUUUACCUAAGCGGAAGAUACAGAACAAUAUACUACCUUUUGUUUUUUGUGUGUGU
rnacentral:lncRNA from 1 species